CCUGGCCCGGCGCGUUCAGUCGGGGGCCGCUCGGGCGGGAGCGCGGAGCAGCUGCGCGGUCAUCUGAUCCGGACAAAGGCGCCCGGAGCCGCGCCAGAGUGAUCCAGACGCAACGGAGUGAUCAGGUGCGAACGCCGUGCUACAUUCGAGUCAGUGUGUCUUGUAAAUGUCCAUGCGCCUCUGGGGUUCAGUCCUUAAGAGGUAUUUGGGAGCCUGUUGCCUAACAGCUGGAGGGAUGACCAUGGAGGACUUCAGCUUGGUCUUUGAGGAUUUUCCCUCUCCCCGGGCGUUAUGUGAUCUCAACAUCUGCCUCAAUGAAAGCCACAUUUUGCCAGGACAGUGCAGUCCCUACCAAUAAGCCGGCUGCAGCACACCUCUGGCGAGGCCGUAGUGACCGGGCGCCCUGCGCGGUAUUGCUCAUCAACUUGACCUUUACUCCACGCUCACACCUUUCACCCUGGAUGACGCUGCGCGGGUGUUGGGGGUUGGGGAGACGGAAGGAGGAGCAGAUAGGGGUGGGAUAGAGACCUCAACGUGAGCCCUGCGCGAGGCUGGAUGCCAGAGUGGGAGUCCCUGCCCCACCUUAAUUCUGCACUGUGCCCGCAAGCUUGAAAGCAACUUAGAUAGCGCAUUGUGAGAUAACGUGCGUUCUUGGCCCUCCCAAUAAACUCAUUUCCCUUAAAAAAAAAAGAAAAAAAGAAAAGUUCUAGUGUCUGAUGGACGCGUAAAAACCUAAUAAGGUGAUGGUUGUGCGAAGGUGGCGGGCUGGGGGGGCCAUGCUGGAGAGGCUUUAGAAC